AGGUCAUUUUGUGGGAAAUUCCUAAUUAAACCUUUGUAGCGUUCCCAUGCUUCAUACAGCGACUCCCCCAUUUGAUGUUCAAAAUUGGAGAUGGCCUUUUUGAGCUU